rnacentral:rRNA from 1 species
GGGCCCGCACAAGCGGUGGAGCAUGUGGUUUAAUUCGAUGAUACGCGAGGAACCUUACCAGGGCUUAAAUGUAGUGGGACAGGUCUAGAGAUAGACCCUUCUUCGGACUCAUUACAAGGUGCUGCAUGGUUGUCGUCAGCUCGUGCCGUGAGGUGUCAGGUUAAGUCCUAUAACGAGCGCAACCCCUAUCGUUAGUUGCCAGCGAGUAAUGUCGGGAACUCUAACGAAACUGCCAGUGCAAACUGUGAGGAAGGUGGGGAUGACGUCAAAUCAUCACGGCCCUUACGUCCUGGCUACACACGUGCUACAAUGGCCGGUACAGAGGGCGGCCAACUUGCGAAAGUGAGCGAA